CGUGGAUGGAAAACAUGUUGUUAUCAUCUGUCAGAAUUGAAUAAUUUUGUUUGUUAAUCGCCAAGAAAUGAAUUUAUGACACAUGAAGGAGAAACUUUCAGAAGCCUGAUGUUCGCAUAUCGUGUGGGAGAGAGGACAAUUUCAGGGAUAGUCAGAGAAACCUGCCAGGCCAUCUAUGAGAACCUUAAAGAUGUCUAUCUUAAGGUUCCAAAAACAAGCGAAGAGUGGCAAGCUGUGGCCAAGGAUUAUGAAGCAAAGUGGAACUACCCCUUAUGCUUAGGGGCCUUAGAUGGCAAGCAUAUUGCUAUAAUUCAUCCUACAUGCAGUGGAUCCACCUAUUUCAACUAUAAGGGCUUUUUCAGUGUUGUUCUCAUGGCACUGUUGGAUGCAAACUACAGAUUUCUUUACGUAAAUGUAGGGGCCACUGGAAGAAGUGGUGAUGCUGGAAUCUUUCUGAACUAACUGACUUAGAGCCCACCCAAGCAAGAAAUGCAACAGCCACAGCAAAGGAGCAAAUAUCGUUCUUGAAAGAGUUCUUUAAUUCAGAGACGGGGAAAGUAGCUUGGCAAGAAAACCACAUUCACUAAGCACUAGUACAUGAUGACUUAAGUUUCACUUAGCAAAUGGUUAUCUGAGCGCAUUCUUUUUCCUACACUGGGGUAUUGGUUCUCCCAAUGCUCCUAGCCCUAGAAUACAU